GAACCGUCCAAACGUUAUUCGGAAUCACUGGGCUUAAAGGGUGCGUAGGCGGCGCGGUAAGUUGGGUGUGAAAUCCCUCGGCUCAACCGAGGAAUUGCGCCCAAAACUGUCGUGCUCGAGGGAGGCAGAGGUAAGCGGAACUGAUGGUGGAGCGGUGAAAUGCGUUGAUAUCAUCAGGAACACCGGUGGCGAAGGCGGCUUACUGGGCCUUUUCUGACGCUGAGGCACGAAAGCUAGGGUAGCGAACGGGAUUAGAUACCCCGGGUAGUCCUAGCUGUAAACGAUGAGCACUUGAUCGGAGGAACUCCCCAUAUUUUUCCGAUCGUAGCGAAAGUGUUAAGUGCUCCGCCUGGGGGUAGUAUGGUCGCAAGGCUG
rnacentral:rRNA from 1 species